rnacentral:rRNA from 1 species
GAGCCGGAGGGAAACCGAGUCUUAAUUGGGCGUUAAGUUGCAGGGUAUAGACCCGAAACCCGGUGAUCUAGCCAUGGGCAGGUUGAAGGUUGGGUAACACUAACUGGAGGACCGAACCGACUAAUGUUGAAAAAUUAGCGGAUGACCUGUGGCUGGGGGUGAAAGGCCAAUCAAACCGGGAGAUAGCUGGUUCUCCCCGAAAGCUAUUUAGGUAGCGCCUCGUGAAUUCAUCUCCGGGGGUAGAGCACUGUUUCGGCUAGGGGGCCAUCCCGGCUUACCAACCCGAUGCAAACUGCGAAUACCGGAGAAUGUUAUCACGGGAGACACACGGCGGGUGCUAACGUCCGUCGUGAAGAGGGAAACAACCCAGACCGCCAGCUAAGGUCCCAAAGUCAUGGUUAAGUGGGAAACGAUGUGGGAAGGCCCAGACAGCCAGGAUGUUGGCUUAGAAGCAGCCAUCAUUUAAAGAAAGCGUAAUAGCUCACUGGUCGAGUCGGCCUGCGCGGAAGAUGUAACGGGGCUAAACCAUGCACCGAAGCUGCGGCAGCGACACUCAGGUGUUGUUGGGUAGGGGAGCGUUCUGUAAGCCUGCGAAGGUGGCCUGUGAGGGUUGCUGGAGGUAUCAGAAGUGCGAAUGCUGACAUAAGUAACGAUAAAGCGGGUGAAAAGCCCGCUCGCCGGAAGACCAAGGGUUCCUGUCCAACGUUAAUCGGGGCAGGGUGAGUCGACCCCUAAGGCGAGGCCGAAAGGCGUAGUCGAUGGGAAACGGGUUAAUAUUCCCGUACUUGGUGUUACUGCGAAGGGGGGACGGAGAAGGCUAUGUUGGCCGGGCGACGGUUGUCCCGGUUUAAGCGUGUAGGUGUGUGUUCCAGGUAAAUCCGGUUCACUUUAACACUGAGGCGUGACGACGAGGCACUACGGUGCUGAAGCAACAAAUGCCCUGCUUCCAGGAAAAGCCUCUAAGCAUCAGGUAACAUCAAAUCGUACCCCAAACCGACACAGGUGGUCAGGUAGAGAAUACCAAGGCGCUUGAGAGAACUCGGGUGAAGGAACUAGGCAAAAUGGUGCCGUAACUUCGGGAGAAGGCACGCUGACACGUAGGUGAAGUGAUUUACUCACGGAGCUGAAGUCAGUCGAAGAUACCAGCUGGCUGCAACUGUUUAUUAAAAACACAGCACUGUGCAAACACGAAAGUGGACGUAUACGGUGUGACGCCUGCCCGGUGCCGGAAGGUUAAUUGAUGGGGUCAGCGCAAGCGAAGCUCCUGAUCGAAGCCCCGGUAAACGGCGGCCGUAACUAUAACGGUCCUAAGGUAGCGAAAUUCCUUGUCGGGUAAGUUCCGACCUGCACGAAUGGCGUAAUGAUGGCCAGGCUGUCUCCACCCGAGACUCAGUGAAAUUGAACUCGCUGUGAAGAUGCAGUGUACCCGCGGCAAGACGGAAAGACCCCGUGAACCUUUACUAUAGCUUGACACUGAACAUUGAGCCUUGAUGUGUAGGAUAGGUGGGAGGCUUUGAAGUGUGGACGCCAGUCUGCAUGGAGCCGACCUUGAAAUACCACCCUUUAAUGUUUGAUGUUCUAACGUGGACCCGUGAUCCGGGUUGCGGACAGUGUCUGGUGGGUAGUUUGACUGGGGCGGUCUCCUCCUAAAGAGUAACGGAGGAGCACGAAGGUUGGCUAAUCCUGGUCGGACAUCAGGAGGUUAGUGCAAUGGCAUAAGCCAGCUUGACUGCGAGCGUGACGGCGCGAGCAGGUGCGAAAGCAGGUCAUAGUGAUCCGGUGGUUCUGAAUGGAAGGGCCAUCGCUCAACGGAUAAAAGGUACUCCGGGGAUAACAGGCUGAUACCGCCCAAGAGUUCAUAUCGACGGCGGUGUUUGGCACCUCGAUGUCGGCUCAUCACAUCCUGGGGCUGAAGUAGGUCCCAAGGGUAUGGCUGUUCGCCAUUUAAAGUGGUACGCGAGCUGGGUUUAGAACGUCGUGAGACAGUUCGGUCCCUAUCUGCCGUGGGCGCUGGAGAACUGAGGGGGGCUGCUCCUAGUACGAGAGGACCGGAGUGGACGCAUCACUGGUGUUCGGGUUGUCAUGCCAAUGGCACUGCCCGGUAGCUAAAUGCGGAAGAGAUAAGUGCUGAAAGCAUCUAAGCACGAAACUUGCCCCGA